rnacentral:hammerhead_ribozyme from 1 species
GGCCAGCUGACGAGUCCCAAAUAGGACAACGAAACGCUCGUCCUGGAU